GAUGAACGCUGGCGGCGUGCCUAAUACAUGCAAGUCGAGCGAACGGACGAGAAGCUUGCUUCUCUGAUGUCAGCGGCGGACGGGUGAGCAACACGUGGAUAACCUACCUAUAAGACUGGGAUAACUUCGGGAAACCGGAGCUAAUACCGGAUAAUAUUUUGAACCGCAUGGUUCAAAAGUGAAAGACGGUCUUGCUGUCACUUAUAGAUGGAUCCGCGCUGCAUUAGCUAGUUGGUAAGGUAACGGCUUACCAAGGCAACGAUGCAUAGCCGACCUGAGAGGGUGAUCGGCCACACUGGAACUGAGACACGGUCCAGACUCCUACGGGAGGCAGCAGUAGGGAAUCUUCCGCAAUGGGCGAAAGCCUGACGGAGCAACGCCGCGUGAGUGAUGAAGGUCUUCGGAUCGUAAAACUCUGUUAUUAGGGAAGAACAUAUGUGUAAGUAACUGUGCACAUCUUGACGGUACCUAAUCAGAAAGCCACGGCUAACUACGUG
rnacentral:rRNA from 1 species